GGGUCUAAUACCGGAUAAUACUCCUGCCUGCAUGGGUGGGGGUUAAAAGCUCCGGCGGUGAAGGAUGAGCCCGCGGCCUAUCAGCUUGUUGGUGGGGUAAUGGCCCACCAAGGCGACGACGGGUAGCCGGCCUGAGAGGGCGACCGGCCACACUGGGACUGAGACACGGCCCAGACUCCUACGGGAGGCAGCAGUGGGGAAUAUUGCACAAUGGGCGAAAGCCUGAUGCAGCGACGCCGCGUGAGGGAUGACGGCCUUCGGGUUGUAAACCUCUUUCAGCAGGGAAGAAGCGAAAGUGACGGUACCUGCAGAAGAAGCGCCGGCUAACUACGUGCCAGCAGCCGCGGUAAUACGUAGGGCGCAAGCGUUGUCCGGAAUUAUUGGGCGUAAAGAGCUCGUAGGCGGCUUGUCACGUCGGAUGUGAAAGCCCGAGGCUUAACCUCGGGUCUGCAUUCGAUACGGGCUAGCUAGAGUGUGGUAGGGGAGAUCGGAAUUCCUGGUGUAGCGGUGAAAUGCGCAGAUAUCAGGAGGAACACCGGUGGCGAAGGCGGAUCUCUGGGCCAUUACUGACGCUGAGGAGCGAAAGCGUGGGGAGCGAACAGGAUUAGAUACCCUGGUAGUCCACGCCGUAAACGUUGGGAACUA
rnacentral:rRNA from 1 species